GCAAACAAUAUUACUUUUCAAAUCUUUCUAAUAUUUUUAAAAUAGUUAAAUUUUGUUCCUCAAUAAUUGUCAAUUUAUUUUUUAUGCACGCUAUUUGAGCAUUCAUCAUCUUUUGCAGUUCCUUGUAUACUUUAAACUUCUCUUCAAAUUGUUUAUGCUCCCUUGCCUUCAAUUCUUGACUUUUCUCUCUCACCUCUAUCUCCUUCACCUCUAUCUCCCUCACCCUCAACUCAAGUUCUCUCUUUCUCAACUCAGUUUCUUGGUCCAACUUUCUUUCCUUUAUUUCAAUUUUCUUUCUUUCCAAAUUAACUUCACUCUCUCUAAGUUUCAUGUUUGAUUCGCGUUUCUCUCUCAGGUACCCAACAUACUCACUUGUCUCACCACCCUUUUUCCUCUUAGAACAUUCUCUUGCCUUAGUUUCUGAGAGACUCUCCAUAGCCCAUUUCCUUCUCUGCCCCUGUUGCCUGUCUCUUACCAUCAUCACACUUUGCUUGCUGCUGCUCUGCACUGUCUUUUCUUUUCAAAAUAUCCUCAAUUGCUUCAUCUAGCUCACUAGGUUCUGGUGCUACCCCACUAGCCCUCAUUUCUUCGUUCAUUUUCCUUCUAAACCCCCUUUCUAAUUUUACGAAUCUGUCCCUAACAGCUCUCUGAUCAACACUGAACUUUGGCCUUUCUACUCCAUUUAAUGCAUCUGCAAUUUUGUUCCAGCAUUUCCCCCUUUUCUUGACCCAUGCUUAUAUUGAUAAGGCUCCUCUGCCAAAAUUUCACGGCAAAGCAGCACAUCAUGAUCUUUAGUCCAUGUCAUUUUAGGCCUAUUCAAAAUAAGUUUAUAUCAACACAUAUACAGGAAAGUUUUGGCUGAGACCUUAAAGCCAAUCCAUUUCAGGAGAGACCAGGAAAAAAUUUCAACUAUUUCAGCAAGGUAAACUAACCACUUGUUCUACUCAAAACAACAUAAAACAGAUUACAAUUCAAAUAAAGUUUAUUCAAAAUGUAAAUUUAAAAAUGCAUCAAGCACAAAAGCAAGUAAUUCCAGCAAGUUAACUUUUUACUUUAAGAGUACUUCAAGAAUAAAAAGUUGGUGACCAUUCAGAUACUGAUCAUACACAGGCUUUCUCCUGGUAUGUACUGAUAACUUCAACAAAACAUCAGGAAAUCUGGCAGGCUUUUGACCAUUAUUUCGCUGUCUCUUAACGGUAAAUGCCACUUGAUUUCGGUUUCAGGAUAAGUAAGUUUCAAUGAAUUUGUUUAAUAAUGGAAUCAAUACAAACAUGAGUUUUCUUUCGUGUGAAUCAUCACAAUUGGCGGCCAUUUUUAACAAUUUAAAUGUAUUCUGGAAUAAAGAUGUAAAAACAACAUUACUAUAUGUCUAUUGUGGCACUGAAAAUUUAGAUAUGUACCAACAAUUCAACUUGAAAAACAUAUAAUGCUCAGUGCCAUUAGGACAGGCAGAGCUGAACACUCCGUGGUGUGUAGAAAAGAUAGUUUCUGAGCAAAAACACAACCAAUACACUCCAAUUUUCACACUUAAUGCGAUCAUCAGGUAACUGUCAAUGAAUUAUCUAAGUUUAUAACGAUGUAUUACAAAAGUGUUGAAGAAAACUCACCUUUUAUUUCUGCGUCGAGCUCGCAACGUAAAAAUCGAAAAUUUGAGUCUUCCUCAGGAACAAGACGGCUCAAGCAAAGUGGGAUCCCCCUUGACCGCGCUAGUUUCUAGAUCCCUGUGAGCCGUCUUCGCUUCCCGCGUCGUGAAUCGGAAGCUCUCUACUCUCUUACUUGCGCCAGUCACCAGAAGUUACACCAGAUCUUGUAUCCCUAAUUAGCAUAAGAUGUUGGGCAAUAGCUAUAGUUAUCUUCAUCAUUGCAGGGGCAUUCUCUCAUUAAGUAGUUAUGUAAGGCAACAACAGUCUUUGUUACUAAAAUCAUUUUUUGUGUCUAUGUUUUUAUUGGUCUUCUAGACACCCUGAACAAAGUGGUAGCUGUCCCAAAGGUGUUUUCAAUAACUCUCCUUGCCCUUGAAAGCCACAGCCUAUAAUUAAAGAUUCUUUGGUCUAUGGGCAAAUUUUGGUUAGGAUAUGCUUCAUUAUAUGAGUUUUUUAACCAAAUGUGUCAUCUGCAAAAAAUACAUAAGAAAGUACUUAUGCUCAACUCUGGCCAACGUUUCAGGCUGAGGGAUAUUGAGUUUUUCAUUUUCAAUGGCAUCGCCAAGAUGACUCAUCCUAUAGCUAGCUGCAAUCGUGCACUGGGCAUCUCCUGUUAUAUCUCAUUGUAACUGCCAAUCUUUUGCUAGGGCCAAAGAAUCACACAUAACAUUAUGUCUCUUUGAGAUUUUUGGACCAACUAAGGAUAACAGUUCUUCAAAUGUUGAGGGUGACAUUCGAAAACAUUAAAAAAAGUACUAGUGACCAUGUAGUCUAAUGUCUCUUGCCAACAGAUGAAAACCAACAGUUGCUAACGGUUAGCAAAGGUGUCAAAAGAAAAUCUUUGCCAAAAGUCUGGAUCCUUGCUUAAGGCAAGCACUAUAUUGAGGCUUUGUGUCAACAGCAGUUGUUGCUGUUUUUGUCUCAAAGAAUGCAAGUGUAGCAAAUAAGAAGUCUGUGUUGUACUGAUUCCAUCACUGAAAUAGCCACAGGAGUCUGUUGUGCUAAUGCAUAUUUGUGAAGUUUCACAACAACAAAGGUCUCUUUAAACGAUGUCCUUGUUGAACUUCAACUGAAGUUAGGAAGAGAAUCAAGGGAUGUUGAACCUUCAUGGACAAUCAGUAACUAAUUGACAUAUCAGACAAAACGAUUAUAGAUUUGCUCAAGAAGGUAGAGUACAUAGAAAAUAAAGAACUCCUAUACAGAAUUACUGCAUUUUUUCAUGAAUGAAUUGCAGAUGAAAUCAUUCUAAUCUUCGUGAAUAUCAGAGGACAUAACAAAAGUGUAAGUAGAGAGAGCAUGAUGUGAUAAGGUAAAAAAUGAACAUAUCCUAGUUGUUACAGUGAGAUAACUAAUUUCCCGGAAUCUUAAUAAAGUAAUUCAGAUCUGACUUUCAAGAGAUUGACUCUGCUCAUUAUGACUACAGUUCUCAAAUUAUGUUAACAAAGCAGUCUGUAAACACUCAAUUGCUUGUUUUAAAAAUAAACAAACAGUAAGUAGUUCUAAUAUCAUUUUAUUACUUGUCUUAUAUGAUCAUUUUUAGUUAAAAAGUUAAAAUCUGAGUUAAAACUUAGAGCAAAUUUUUAGAUCAAUUGAAAUAAUAGCAGACUGUAUCACAAACAAAUUUAUGCAUGUGGCAGAUCACAUAUGUACAUUUCAUUUCUUGUCAGCUUUCAAAAUUUAUUGUCAAUAUUUGCUUGCUUGAUGGCUUUAUAAUAAAAGCUGUUAAUAUGAAAUAUUUGUGUGUAUAUAUGCUAUCCUUUUCACAGUAAUUACACCAAGAUAAUGCGAAAAUAGUUUAAAAUAUUAUUCUAGUGCUGUCCUAAAGUAUACUACUUAUAUAUGUAUCUCCAAAAUGAAAUAAUGACUAUGAAAUUAUAGGACUCUUAUAAUUUUCUUGAAAAUAACAGCAAAAUAUGCAGAAGGGUUAAAUGGCUGAUAACUGCAUGAUCUUCACAAAAUUUUAGAGAUUGCCAAACAAAUUCAACUUUUUAAUUCCAGGCUUCCAUAGCAAAGAAAUUUAUAAAAUAUUACAAAAUCAAACUUUCAAGUUUCAAAUAAAGUUUACAACAUCAAUGAAAACGCUACAAUUUUAAUAAAUUAUUGCAUUUACUCAAGCUACUUACGUAACAUUUACUUAAAACUUAAAACUACGUAACAUUUAAGGAGAAUCCAUUGUACUCAUUGGCAAUCAAUGAUUAGUUUUUGUUAUAAGGUAACAUUUACUUCUUAUUAUGCUGAAAAAUUUGUAUUUUUCAUAGUUUUAAAGCCAUAUUUUUGCUUAUGUUUAAGGUUUAGCUUUUUUUUACAUUACGGUAAAAAUCUGGUAAGGAUUCAAACUUAUUACUUCACAGUUCCCUUAGAAAUGACCUUUCGUCCCUUUGCAUUGUAACCUUCUUCAGGCUGCCAACUCUUGGUAAAUUUUAUACUACUCUUGUAUGGAAAAACCUUUAACAAACCAAAAAGCUGCACUUAUUGAGCAGCCGACAAUUGAUGCAUUUUCAUGAUAUCCACUUGUGUUAUUUAAGUAGAAAGCAAUUUGUAAGUGCUUCUCUUGACACAGUUCUUGAUUUCAAACAACUUCUAUGUUUGCAUGUCAAGGCCUAUAUAAAUUCUUUGGUCGAUUUUUUAAAUUCUAUGGUCGGUUCCAAGUCUUUUAUUGGCUGAGCAACCAAAAUUCUCAAUAGCCUGUUAGCCAAUCAAAGUUUAAGAAUAUGACAACAAUUGUGCCUCACAGCUAGAUUUAUGCCUCACAAAUGACCAACUUAAUGGCUCAUUAUGCCUCACAAAAAUAUUUUUACCAUCAUAUUUUGAUUUCCAAUUCUUCAUUCGCCCAGUUGUUAAAGCGUUAUCAAAGGAUUCUUCUUCACCAGCAAUUUGUGCACAUCAGCAAAAGUCAAAAUUAAGCCUUUUACUUUUGAUUUACCUUUUACUUUUACUUUUCCCAUGAUGAUUCUAUUUCUCCAAUGGUAUCCAACAAUGUACACGUUACAAGAUGUAGACAAUUUUCCUAAAACUAUUGCCUUUUCCCUUUUCCAUUACAUUUUGUGUGGUAAUGUUAACUAACUCAUUGUUACUUACCUGAAUCGAUAUAAUAGCUCUUGCUUCACCUACCUUCUCCUUUUCUUCGUUUUUCUGUGCACCAUUUGCUUCUGCUGAUAAUUUAAUUUCCCCUGAUGCAAAUCCAAACAGAUUUUUUUGUGGUAAGAAGCAUUUCCAUUCUGAAUUUCCAAUUGUCAUAACUAGUCCCAACAUGUAGAUUGAUCCUAACACUAGUACCUUUGAAUUUAUCCAUCAUGGCAAAGUAAAUGCACAACAAAUCUAUAGUGAAAGUGUUUCCAGUGUCCUGGGCCCAUAACCUGUUAGAGUUACGCGGAAGAUUGAAUUCAGACAUGCAAAAAUGAAAAACAACAUAUUCAACAACGGAACAAAUUCUGCCAUAUUGCAUUUACAAAAGCACAUUGGUUAAAUUAAUGGGUUAAGUACUUCAUGUAAAGAGAGAUGUGAAACAUCAAUUAUAAUAAUACCCUCAAAAAUUCUAAUAAUUACAUCCCAAAUAAUAUUUCCUAAAAUAUUAAUGUUCCCCAGCAUUUUCCUCAAGUCCCCAAUGGUGCCACCAUCAACUGCAUUGUAUCAAAUCAAAACAAAUUCAACUUCAGUAAACAUUCAUAAAGAAACCUACAGCUUGCAUGCUUAUAAAGCUUCAAAAGCAAGUAGGGUCCAAAUUUGUAAGGUUACAAGAAUUUAAAAUUUAGUAUCAUCAUCAAUUAAAUAUUGUUGCUGCAUGGCUUGAUCUGGAGCAUCUGAAAAAAGGACUAUGCCUCAUUUUGUUUGAUAGGAAUCUGCAAACCCUAAAAAGCAAGUUGACACUGUCAUUGAGUUUCUAAUGAUUCCAAACAUAUAAAUGCUAAAAACAUUUUGAACAGGAAUACAAUUCACAGUGAAUUUUUUUCAAUCUAAACAACCCUUAAGCAAGCUAUGCUUUGUUAUUGUAAAUAGUUAUUAAUUUUUAGGCCUCCUGUAAAAGGAAACUAUCUCUAUAGUGCAGUGUCUGUUUCUCUUACUGGCAAGAUACCUUGGCUUCAACCCUCAGGGCUCUUACAUCUGUAAAGCUAAUCUGAAUGCAGUUUUGUGCUUUCCAUCUACAUUUUACUUCUGUUUCAUCCUCUGAGAAUUUAGAAGAUGAUCACUGUCUCCAACUAAAAAAAUUAACCAUGUUAUUGAAAAUUGAAAAUUCUCGUCUUUGUAUUGCUUUGUUCCUGUAUAUCUUUCAAGACUCAACAGCUCUUCAAAUUUUUUUGGCAGCAUUCGAUAAAACCGAAAGAACAGCUCGUGAUCCAAAAGUUUCAUUUCUAAUACCAGCUGGUGAUAUUCGCCUUUUUCCAAAUGUUCACAGUAUAUUUUGUGAACCCAUUGUUUAUGCUCUAUAUCUCUUGUGUUUCUCUUUAAGUUUUUCUCUUUGCCGUAAAGAAUUAAGAAAUGCAAAGCGAUGUUCGUCGGACAUAUUUGUUUUUGUUUAGAUUGUUCAGAUGGCGCCAAAAAUCUAUGGCGCGAAAUGCAUCAAUUUGAUGGUUUGCUGGCAAUCAGGCAAACAAAUGGAUAUUGAUGAGGCAGCGGUUUGCUGGUGAUCGUGCGACUCAUUUUGAAAAACAAGGGAUCGCACAAAGCUAACUCAUUUAAACUGUCAAAAGAAAUGAUUGCCCUGCAUAAUGGAUGCAAAUGCAACUGAUGCUUAAACAAGAGAACUUGGGAGAAAAUUUAUGAAGGAAUUGUAGACGUGAUCUUUAUGACUUGAUCCAAUAUUCCAGACUUAAACUUAUUAAAUAUAAUGUUUCCCUUUAUCACCAUAAAUUAAAACUAGUACUAAUAUGAUAUUGCCAUGGAAAAAUCUGCUUCCUUUCUUCCUUUUUGUCUUUCUUUUGUUGUACUUCUGUAUAAUAAUCUCUCAGCCUGUAAUUGACUGACGUGCAACUUAAUUUAUCUUUUAUUAUUUAUUUAUUUAAUUAUUAUUUAUUUACUAUUCAUCAAUGUUUAAAACUGAUAGAUGCAUAUUAACCUGAUGCCUGAACCUGGUGCUUGACUGACAUGCAACAUUAUUUAUUAUUCAUUUAUUUGAUGCAUAGAUACAUAUGGUAGAGGCAUACUAACCAAAAGUCAUUGCAUGACCAAUUUUUUGGAUAAAACUAACAAGGAUAAAGUAAAAGAAAAUAGAAUUCUGGUUUAAGAAAUUUUGAAAAAUUUCAGCCUCACUUGAAGGAAAUAUAAAUUUGAACAGUGAAAGCACUGCUUUCAAUGAUCACCUUGAUAAGUGCUUGAAACCAGCUUGAACUGCAUCGGAGAAGGUCAUGGUUGAUGCUUCAAAUUGAUUCGAAACAGUCAAGAAAUCCAAAAAACCUGACCUUGGAGUUGAUGAUGUUGAUGGUGCCAUCCCUGUUUCAGAAUAUGUAGAUGGAACCUGGCACAAAAUGGCUACUCUUCCAAACUUGGUGUAGUUUUUGUCAUUGGAGUUGAGACAGGUGAAAUCUUAGAUUAUGAAGUACUGCCUUUAUUCUGCCAAGAGUGUUAUAUUAAUAUAGAAAAUUGAAAAACCCAGACAGUUUUUCAGAUGCUACACAGAAACACAGAAUAGACACAGAAAAAACUGCACAUUAACUAAAGUGGCUUAUCAGAAGAAAUAGAGAGUGAAGGUGCUGUCAGAAUUUUUGAGAGAUGAAUAUAAACAAGAGGGAAAUUUACAAUUUGUGUAGCAUCCACUUUAUUUCCAUCAAAGAAAAGGGGCCAACAACAUUUCAAAAACCAUUGUCAGUAACAACCAGAUAGCUUCCUUUAUGGAAGAGGCUUUUCUACUAGGUGGUGCACUAUUUUCAAUGAAAAUGAUUAGUCGCUUGCUCUAAGCAUUUGGAACCCAUGGAAAUAUUCUGACGCCAUGUGCAUCUAAGUAUGUAUCAAAAAAGAAAAAAUUUUGUUUGUGUUGAUCUUCCACAUUUUACUGUCCUUAUGACUCCACAUUUUACUGUUCCCAAUAUUUUUCAAUGAGUUAUCAAACGUUAAAUGGGGCAUGAACUAUGUCAUUUGCAUGAACAGAACCGCUGAUUAUUUGGUUUAGUUAAAACUGGGGUUUGAAAGAACACUACAUUGUUUUUCAAAGCUGCUAUUAACAAGUGCAUCGCGAUUGUUAUUCCUGACAAUUUGAAUGUCUGAUACAGGGUCAUCCAUAGAAUUUAAAACUUGGCUUAGUCUCUUAUGUGCAUGAUAUCUUUGCUGAUUUAAUUGACACAGAAGUAUAUGCAGGAAAUGCUUAAACCAAAUCUUGAAUGAUUCAAGUAAGUAAAAGUUUUUUCAAAUACAUGAUCUUGGCUUGGAAAUUCAUUGACAUGGAAAACAGACCUUUUGAAUAUUUUCUGAAGGGCCCCAUGAACUGGUCCCAAAUCAGUCAAGAGUGUAUGCAGCAGAGAUGCCACAAUUACCUAUGCUAAAGGACUUACUUCCAAAUGUGAUAAUGUUGGCAUUAUCUGCAACUGUUGAUUAAGACUUGUAGUCAAGAUAGUGUAGUCUCUCUCAAUGCAGUCGUUCAAAAUGACCAGAGCCGGUCCAAACAGGCUAAACAUUCACCAGGUGAAAGAAAAAUGCCUAACUAGAAUGUAUAGUAGAAGGUUUAAAAAAAGAGAAAAGGAAUUUCAAUAAGACAAGCAUCUAUUCUCGAAGAAUUGAGAAUUUUUCUAAAGUUUUUUAUUCUAAAUGGAGGAACUUGGUAGAGAGGCUUUUGAUAUAUUGUCAAGAGAAAAAUCCACCAGUAACAUGCUUAUUGACAUGUCAUAAAAAAACUUUAAUUGAAAAUAAAGACAGGUGUUUGUACAACUGUCUGAUGUCGAUGGUUCUUGCAACAUCCUCACUUGUGAUGGGUGUUCACAACAGUCACGAGGUAUGUAAUUUUUUAAGGAGCUCAAUAGGGAUUGGAAGGACAGGACGUGAUCAAGCAGCUACUGCAAUUUUGGCUUGGUAUUACACUUUACAAAAGCUUAGAAGCACAAGAUGUAAAAGUUUCAGAAGUGAAACAUUGUCAUAUAUCAUGUGACUGUAAAAGUAAUGGUGUGUGCAAUGUUUUUUUACAAAUAUGGAGAGGAUUUGCCAAAAGUUUCAAAGCAAGGAGAAGUGCAAACUGUAUCUAAUCCAGAGAAUCAGGCUUUUAAGGAAGAAUUCUUAGAUUAUGAAUCGCAACAAAAUGGAGAGUAUGCCAUUGUUGCAUCAUUUUUUGAUAAGCAAUCUUUUGUUGGCAUAUCAGAGUAUGUAACUAAGGAGCUUCAAGACCACUUACCUUUCAUAACAAGCGUUGACUAUAUUCUAGCAACAGCCACACUCCCAUUUUCAAAUAGCAACAUACUGGAGAAACAUUUUUCAUAGUGCAUGAUAUCUUUGUUGAUUUAAUUGACACAGAAGUAUAUGCAGGAAAUGCUUCUAGGGACAAGAACAUAGAAAUACAGAGUUUCCCCUUGUUCAGAUGCCAAUACUUCAUCGGGAAGUUACAAAAGUGAUUUGUUUCUAAAUGUAAAAGCAUUAGAUGUUUUAAGAUGGUUGGUAAUGUUUGGUAGAUCAAAUAUAUACUAGAUUAAACUAGAGAUAUUAUAUGACCAUCAUGUAGUUUGAAUCGAAAAAUCUACUAGUACACAACUGAUGAAAGCUGUUAUUCACUAAGAUAUAAUUAGUUUAUCCAGUUAAUCUAUUUGUACCUAUUUGUAUCCAAGUUGUUUAAAAUUGAAAAGUUAAUGCUUUGUUGAAUAGAAUACGGAUUUUAACAGACAUCAUUUCUACAAACUUCAUAACCAGAUUGUCUAAUAUAUAAGAAACGUUAAAGAAACAUUCGCCAGGUGAUUUUGGCUGAUUCCUUGUUAUUCAGUAGCCUUGCUGCCAAAAUUAUUUACUCUCUAAUGCACACUUGAGAACUAUUGCAGGGUAGAAAUCGAGGCUCAACUGACAUUUCACAAAAAAGAACAGAAGAAGAUCCUGUUAAAAUCUUAGUGAUAUUAGAACUUACUCCUUUCUUAGCUUUUCUAUGAUGUAAAACCAUAGAUUUGCGAUGUGCCAAAGCACUCAGUGUUGGGCUUCUCACUCUCAUCAAAAUGCAUUUACCAUUACCAGACCAUGCAAACAAACUUUGUGUGCUUGUUUGAUUUCCUUUCUACAUGAUAAAAGCAAAGGGGCUCAUUUUUGCAUUUCAUCAAUGCUUCGUUUUUUAGAUUGGUCUUGGAAAGCAAGCUUUGAUUUUUCAAAGCAACAACAGUUCACAACCCAUCAACAACUGUCUCCUCGAUACAUUUCAGAGUAAUGGUUUAAGAUCCUUGUGCUUUAACAUCUUCUUUAUGAUAAAUUUUAUGUCGCCAGUGACAAGUGCAAUAGAGGACUUCUCAACCUGGACCACAAUGCAUUGCAAGAUGCGUGGCAGCCAUAUUGGUAGACCUGGUAGCUGUGACGUUCUUUCUGUAGUAAGUGCACGCUUGUUUACUGUUGUAUAGAGAGUUUGCAAAGAUAAUCAGUCAGACUUUUGUAAAAUAUGACAAAGAACUUCGAUUCAUUGCCUGCUUAUGCACGUGGGAGAUAUCUAGAGAAAACUGGGGUGGUUGGAACUCUAGACCCUUAUACAAUUGAUGGAGAGUGGUGGUGGUGAGAUCCUGAAGAUUACCCUCCGAUAACGUAUAUAGACAUGGUAAAUUAUUCUGUGCUUGUGGUUCAAGUCUAUUUUACUCAAUGGCCGAGUUUAAGAACUGCAAAAGCUUGGAAUCCUAUGAUUGUUUUGUGUCUGGAUGGGUUAGAAAUGUGGAAGUUUAUCAAUAUGAAUCAGUUUAAAAAAAAAUCAAUAUACACUUCCUUGUUCGUGCAAGGGUUAGCCACAAUCAACAAAUGAGUUAGGCACCAGUUUGUUCCUGGUUUAUUUGCAGAGAAAAAGGAGUAGUGGUGGCUUCCCACUGUACAUGUAUUGCAGGUUUGGGUAAAACAUGUUCACAUGUUGCAUCAGCCAUGUUUUAUGUUGAGGCUGCAGUUAGACUAUGUGAAAAGAAAACUGUGACCUAAAAAGCUGCUUACUGGAUGCUACCAUCUACAAGGUCAACAGUUGAAUAUUCACCUAUAAAGGACAUUGAUUUUAGGUCCUGUUAUCAGCUCAAAAAUCAACUGGAUACAAUUAUUGCUGAAGAGGAUACUGUUGCUACAGAAUCUAGAGGUAUUGAUGUUGAAGCAGGAUCAAGUGUCAUGGCAAUGGAAAGUAAGAUAUACAAAGCAGACAGAGCAAGUUUUGAAACAUUUCUUGCCAACAUUUCAAAUUGCAACCACGCAUUUCUAUCUGUUCAUCCACGCUUCUCUGGUAAAUUUGUUUCCCAAGCUUUACAACAAAGCUACCCUAUAGUUCUCACAGAGCUCUUUGGUCCAACAAUAGUAGGAAUUUCGUUCAAAGAGCUAGCAGAAAAAUGUCGGUAGUUAUCCACCACAGUAACAGUGUCCAGAAAACAAUUGGAACUGGUUGAAAAAAACUUGUGGUCAAUCCAUAUCUUCUCUGUGGUUUGCAUUUCGCAGUGGGAGAAUAAAUGUAUCGAAAUUAAAGGCUGUGUCACUAUACAAAUUGCUAAACAAUCAUUAAGUCUCAUUAAAGAGAAAAGGGAUUGAAUUCACCAGGUGAAACAAACUGCCUCGGGGUUGUUGAUGGGAAAUUAUCAAAUGGCCCUGACAGAAACAAAUUAUGUGACUUUUUUGUCUGGACUCCUGUGCAGUAUCAUCUUGAGAAAGUGCCCAGUAAAUCAACCAUACACUGCAUUUUGUUUUCUGGACUUUGAUGUCAAUAAACAUGCUUUGAAUGUAUAUUUAUGUUUUUUUUCUUAUUUCCUCUCAUUGCAUUCAAUUUAUUUUUUGGUGAAACAGAUUUUAUCUUCAGAUUUAAUCUACAGUUUUACUGUGAUUUAAUCUUUCAGAGUUAAUCUACAGUUUGCAUUGUUUGUUUUCAGGCUGUUUGUCUGUUAUCUGUUUAGAUUCUUACAGAUUACAGGAGUUCUGAAACAUAUCAGCUAAUGUGUAAUAUUUAUAGUCCCUUUUAGUUGCAUAAUUUUUAUAAAAUGAAAGAAAAUAGGAAAGUAUGCUUUGGUUUGUAUAACAUUAGGAAAAGCAUUAUAUAAAUAGUUCUACAUCUCUUUGAACUGAGUGCAGCAGUCUGAUAAAAUUUUUCUCUGAAGGAAAGGAAAUUUGUAAUUGUUACAAGAAAGCCAGUAUUAUUCAAUGGGGAAACGUGGAAUAGGUGUAUCAUUGCAACUCUAGAAGCAUUCCCUUGAUUUGAGAAAUAUGACCUCAGAGAUUCAUUUGGCAUAUGAUGGCAAGUACAAAGUAAUUAGAUGUCAUUCAGGAGUUUAGAAGUAUUAAAUUUUCUAGAACUCAUAAGUUAAAUUUCCUGGUUACCUUAUACUAUGUAUCUUUAAAUAACCUGCCAGUCCAUAUUAUUUCCUUAUAUCACCUUUUCUUUUCAUCUUAAAAUUACCUGAUAAAAUAGCAGUUAGCAAUUAUCAAUUUCAUACCUUAGUAUCUUUGUGAAAAUGUUGUUUCUAGAUUUUUUAAAGCUUCAAGACCCUUUCACUGCAUGGCUUCUAUUGAGCUCUUGAUAGACUUUGACAAUGCCAGCAAUAUUGAUCCAUCAUGCAGUGAAGACAUAGAAAGUAAAUCCAAUAUUGCAUCUUUAGAUAAACAGAGAUCCCAUGUAUCUGCAGUCUUAUGAUUUAUCAACAUUCUCCAAAAAUCCAAUAAAUUUUACAUCUUUCUUCACACACAAAUCUUGAUUUCAGUAGAGAGGGCUAGUAAACUAAAAAUUAUUUAUCCAUUUGCAUCUUUUAAAGAUCAAAACUAAGGAAUCAUGACUGCAACAUAUUUAUUAGUCAUUUUGUGCUGAUUUAUUUUAUCAAGUGUGUGAGAAGGAAGAACCACAGGAUAGGCUGUAGGCCGGAUUCUGUGAAUCUUGCAAUGAGUGUUGUUCUGAAAGAUAUACUUAUUUUAUCAAACAGUUUCAGAAGAUCAUUGCCCGAUCUAUGACAUCCCACGAAGUGUAAAGUAUGUUGUAGUAUGGGAUUCAUCCAGUGAUGGCUAUGGCAUUCUUACAACUUCAAGGUCAGGAACAAUUUGUCGCAGCUGUUCCACACCUUUAGGCUGCAUACAUUUGGAAUUGAGACUUUCCCAAAAGAGCUUGGGUUACAUUUAGAUACCUAACUUCGUAUUAUCACAAAUUUCCCCCUUUUUUAAAACAAUAUUUGCUUAUUUUUGCCCCAAGAAUUUGGUUUUCAUCUUGGCAGCCAAUGUUAAAACAGAUAAAGCAGAUAAAAUUCUUCAUAAAUACAUGGUCUUUUUCUCAUUAGUUUAUAUUAUAGUUAGAUGCAAUGAAUUAUUAUUAACCCUCUUUUGUUGAUUUUAAGAAGCUAAAUUAUUUUGCUAGAAUAAUAUUUUAAAAGGAGAAUUAUACCAGUUAAAAAGGUUAUCUUAGUACUGGUUGUAGUAAUUUUGUAGUGUAUCUUGUAAUUCUCUAAGUGUAUCUGAUAAUUACUGCAAACAAGCAUUAAUAAUUUUAUUCCAAUCAUUCCAACAUGUGAUUUUUAUUAUUAAAUGCUAAUUAUAUUAUCUGAGUAAGUGGAUUUCAAUUCCAGUGUGGUGUUGAUGAUUAUAAGCUAUUAUAUAAAAUUCUUUACACAUGCCUAAUUUUUCAUUUCAAAUGAAAGGAAAAAUUUGUGCAAUAGCUUUAACUGAAAACCUGCUUGUAUGAAAAUAGGAGGUCUAAAUUAAAAAAUAGUUCUAAAUAAAAAAAUUAUUAUAUUAUUGAUCUUGUUGUAAUUUGUAGGGAACCUCCUGCAACAAAUAUCUUGAAAUGAUACUUAGACUGCAUAUGUACUUAAGCCUUAAUACAAUGUUGCUACAAAAUAUCUUCAACAUUAUAUGUAACCAAUUUUCAAAUCCACAAAUAUUGUGGACAGUUUUGAUUUACAAUACGUUUUUUUCAGUAUUUUCUCAAAUGUGCCCAAACUGUAAUGGAGUUGUGCACUAUGAUGGCUCUUCUGACAGUAAGCUGAAUAUGGGGAGUUUUGUUGUCAGCCACAACCUUUAAAGAAAUCUUACGCACCAUUUUGUGCAUGGAAGGUGGGUGCUGUAUGAAUGUUUCUUUAAAGUUUUUAUGUUAUACUGUCCCCAGGGGGAAUACCUUCCAGGGGAGGGGGGGGGGGUGUGACGGGAUGGUACAUUCACAUACAAUAAGUUCCUUCACAUGCAAUAAGUUCAAAGAUGCAUGGUAUUCCUUCCUUGCUUUAAUUGAUGUUGAUUUCCAUAAGGGGUUCAGUUGCACCAUAUGUAAAGAUCGACCAAAAUGAGUAAUUAUAGAUGCAACUUGCCUGUCAUUUCGGAAGGACUUGGAAUGGUUUCUUUGUUAGAAACAAAUCCUUUGAGCCCAACUCUAUCCCUAGAGUCAGGUUAGAUUUUUAUAAUAACAUAGCCAUAUUCUUCUUUCAAUUUAUUUGCUCAAAUGAAUAAAAAAUUAUCGUAACGGAUUGUGUAAACUGUUUGUUGUUUUGUCCUCUUGAUUUAUGGUGGACCUUUUUUGUCUCAAAUGAUGUGAAGUGUAAAAGUUUUAGAAUUCUAAAAAAUUAUGCCUUUGCCAUUUAAUUUUUUUAAAGGCAUUGAGUCAUGGUUAAUAGAACGUGUAUACCCAAAUUGCAAAAAUUGCUGAGUCAUUAUGAUAGCUUCGCCAAUCUGAUUGGCUGUCAAGCAAAUUGCACACAACUGUACACAUGAUGUUGUAACCUCGCAUUUGGGAAGCUUUCAGUGGGGGAAGAAGCCAAAAUUGCGAUGCGUCAUAGUAGUGGAAAACGAGUUGUGCUCAGUUUAGGAGUGGAAAACGAGGAAACGAAAAAAGUGCUGCAGUCGUUUUCGAUUUAAAAGAUACCUUAAAGUAUCAGUACAAAGCCAAUUUUUUAAAAUGGCUGAUCGACUUGGGAAAGGCCAAUUCAUCGACGGCCAUACCAACAAAGUUGAGGAAACCAGGGGACCGCAGUGCAACAAAUAUUGUACCAGUGUUAACAAUUUUGUUGUUGAAAAAAGAUGGUUAUUGUGAAGGGUUUGGAAAGCUGGUAGACACAGAAGGUGACCAUUUACACGACCUUGCUACCACUUCCAUAGGUGCUAGGCCUACUGAAGAAAGGCAAGGCCUAAUCAAAAUUAUGAAAUCAUAACUAAUGUCUAAUGUGUUUUCUUGUCGUUGGAAUGACUUAAAAUGAUUGGAAAAUAACCUAGAUAAUCAGAUGGAAUUAAAUCUAGAUAAAUCAAUUGGAAAAUAAUCUGUAUUCUCAUGAAAUCAACUUCUUCGACUUCUUAAAUCGAUAUUUUUGUUGUUCAUUAUUGCUAAGCAACUAAGAGCCCCGACGCUAUUGUUUUCAGGGCUGAAAUGUUCACAGUAACGAAAGCGGUGACCAACAAAUCAAUGGUACAGAUAUGGCCUGAAAUCGAUGUGUCCUCCAACUUUUUUGAAGAAGUCAUUAACAUUGACCAAGCUAUGCCUGAAAAUGUAUGCAGCACGCCCAAGAAGGAUUAAAUUUCAACUGAAGCCAUCAGGUAUUUCUCUAGCCUGCAAGGACUAAGUAUGCCCCGCCAUAUGGGACAAAAGUCUAUUAUACAAAAUAUAUGAUGUCAUUGUAAAUAUAUUGUUUAAAUCUAUUAUAAAUCUGUUGUACAAUUCAUAUCGACGUUAUUUCCUCUAGCUUAAUGCGUGUCCACUUGACAUUUAUAAAUUGUUAUCGGAAAUUUCAGAUAUAUAAGGUCUGAAUUUGUUUGCAAAUAUAUAAGGUCUGAAAUUUUUUGCAAAUAUAAGGUCUGAAUAUGUAAGGUCUAAGCGCGAACAAUGUGCGCAGUGACAUUUCCCGCAAAUUAUGACCACCAGAGGCAAAAGACUGGCCUAAGCAAUACCAACGAAUAUUAAAUAUGUUGUUCAAAGUUGACUUUCAACAGUUUCUGGUUGAUCUUCCUGGACAACUAUCUUAGGCUCGACGACAAGCUUUCAGUAGUAAUUUGAAUAUGCUCGAAUUUCGGAAUAGACAUUUGCAAGACUUUUUACAUGUUUUAAGCCUUUUCAUUAGGAGGUGUGAAUGUGCGACAGAAACACCUGAAAGUUUGUGUGUGUAUCUAAGAGAUCUUUCUGUAGAAAUUUGUAAUCUACACAAUUUAGUUGAGAGUAACAUCUUUACUGAUGAAAGCUACAUACCAGAAAUGACUGCACACUCUAUUAGGUGCCCUGAAGAGCACAAUGAAGGUGCCUGUGGCAGACCUAGAAAAUUAUCAGAGAAGGAACAAAUUGCAAACCUGUUUGAGAUACACAAUUCAUGGCAUCAGUAGCUCAACUAUUAGGAACUUGUGACUUCCUUCACACGGAAUUAACUUCUACGGUUGCCAUUCUGGGAGCUUGCGCGACGACUUCCCCGAGAAGCUGGGCGAGUGUAUGGGGUUGCGGGCACAGAACUAGGCCAUCUGAUGCUAGUACUAUAAGCAUUGCGCCCAAUAUUUCUCCCACGGGGAAAUCUUUGGCGGCUGUCUAAGAAGGAUAAAAUUUCAACUGAAGCCAUCAGGUAUUUCUCUACCCUGCAAGGACUCAGGCCUAAAUGUUUACAAAAAUUAUUUUUGGUAGCAACCGUAUCUCAGUUGAACUCAAGUAAUAAAGCAAUUAUGCAACUUGAACUCAAGUAAUAAAGUUUCAUUUUCAAACCUUUCCCCACCUACAAAUUUGGUGUUGUAACCUAUAGUAGAGAAUGGUGGCAUCUCAAUUAAAUAAGCAAAGUUAUGGGGUAGCAGUAUAAUGGGAGAGCAAAUAAUUAUUCAAACAUUCUAUUAUAUUUCUUUUGCGUUGUAGCUGCAUUGAAAUGCCUGAUUUUUUGGAAGCCAACUGUGAGACAUGGGUAGAUCUUUUUGGAAGCCAUCUUUUUCAUCAAUGUCCACUGUGAGUUACUUUCUAUGCUAUUUUGUGAUCAGGUCUUAGUUCACAUGUCCUUUUUAUCUCCUUUGUGUUCUUUUUAUGGUUCUCUUUGGGGUAAUCACCUUGUGAGAUUUUUGUAAAAUUAUCGUGGAUUUUGUUUCUGAAAGUUUCUUGUUUGUUAAACAAUGUUCUUGUUCUUCAAUGUAAUUUUUGUUUUUCUAAAUUUUUUUAUUCCAAGUUACAGAUGGCUUCUACUGUAUGGUCAUUUGAAAUCUACUUUAGAAUUUGUACAUACUGUCUAUGUGUCGCUCUCAAAAGAAAUGAGAGAUAUAGAUUACAAUUUGUAGUAAAAAAAACCUUUUUAUUUAUUCACUCAAUCACUACUUAAAAAUACGUACUUUAUCCAACAUUCAGAAAUGAGGAAAGCCACAUUGACAGUAUCCUGGAUGAUGUUGAAGAGUCUCUGCUUCAAGAGCAAUUUGAAAUGAUGGAUACAUGUCCUGAAUAUGCAGCUGUUGAGAAUGAAGUCGAGACUCCUCUGUCAUGUUUUUGUGUCAUGUUUGAUGUCUUUUGAUAGUACAAUAUGACCUCUUUCUUUAACAGAGAAAGAUUUUCAACAUUCUUAAAUUAUUUUUGCUUAUUUAUGAAACAAUUUAAUGACAAUUAUUGAAAGUACGUCCAGCACCAGCAGCUAUUUUUUUUUAUUUUUUGCUAUGUAUGAAGGCACAGAAAAUAUUUUGAGACAUGGCAUAAUGUUAAAUAUGUAUGCUAAUUGCAUCCAUGCAGCUGGAUUAGAUGUUCUUUUUCCAAUUUUUACAAAAUUGUGGUGUUGGACAUACAUUUAUUUGUACGUUCAACACCAUACGUCCAACACUUUAUGCCCCUUCAUACCAAUGGAGCCAUCUUGGAUUUGUCUCUCAAUCAACAGUAUCAGCACAUGGUCUAAUACUGAGAUUGAGUCUAAAAAGUGCCAAUUAAAACCAAACCAUCAAGGAAAUACAUAUUUGUUUGUUCUCAUUGCUGAGUUGUUGAUUAUGCCUCUAACAAACAAAGAAAAGUUGCCCUGGCGAUGAGCGAAGGUUAAAGCUGGUGAAGAACUUUGGAAGGCAAAAAAGGAAAAAGAUAGGAUAAGAAAAGCAAAAUCAAGAGAAGCAGCAAAAGAUAAAAUGUCCAAAGAAGAGUGGAGAAACUACAGAGCUAAAAUUCGCUUGUUAAACAAUACAGAGACCAAAAGAAGUGCCAAAUUCAACCAAAUGAGCAGGAAGUAGAUCUAAAUGAAACUGAGUCACCGUAUCGCUCUGUUCAGGCGAUGGGGAAGGCAAUGACUAAAGUGAGAACUUCUCUUCCAAAAUCACCAAAGAAAAGGAAGGCAGUUGCAGCAGCCCUAGCAAAAGAAAUUGGCAUCAAUGUUGUUAAAGCAAAAAAAAGAGCAGCACAGAUUGGUUUAAAUGAAGAUACCAAAAGCAAGAUUAUUGACUUCUACCUAAGGGAUGACAUAAGUUGGCAAGCACCAGGGAAAAAAGAUCAUGUAAUUAUCAGGAGUAAAGAUGCAAGUGGGAAAAAACUGAAGAUACACAUGCAAUGCAAAUACAUGCUUAUGUCCCUUGCAGAGGCCCACCAGCUGUAUUUGAGGAGAAUUCCCAGUCUGCCGUUGGUAGAAGCAAGUUAUGUUAGCUCAGGCCAAAACACAUUAAGCUUUUUGAUAAAAUUCCCCAUAAUGUCUGUGUUUGCAUGUACCAUAAAAAUGUAAGGUUGCUUUUGAAUGCUCUUGGGAACUGCACAGAGUUACCUAGCAGCAUAUCACUGUUCACAGAUUCCAUUGUCUGUUACCCCAGCUCUAAAGAGUGCAUGGCACUUAAAUGCGACAUCUGCAGAAAUAAGAUCUCUUCUUUUGAGCCAGUUGGAGAUGAUGGAAAGUCACAGGUGACAUACUUUCAGUGGCAAAGGAGUGAUAAGAAUUAUGCAUAGGUUGAAGUGAGAAGUAAUGCUGAAGACACAUUUAGUGAGCUGUUUCCUGGGGAAAUUACUGAGUUUGGUGGCAUUGAUUCAACUGAGGUCAGAGCUGAUGUGAUGGAGAAAACUGGGAGGUUUUGGAAAUGGUCGUUCAAAAGAGAUAACAUUUUUUAAUUUUGUAAGGAUGUAGUGCAAAAGAUUAAACCACCCAUAGUAGCGGGAAAUAGGGGACAGUUUAAAUUUUCAAUUUUAUAGUUCUGUUGUUGUUUUGUUUUUUGAGAAGAUGUUUGAUGUUUGCAGAUGUUUUAAUUUACAAAAUGUACGUCUGACACUUGGAAAUGAACGUCCAGCACCAUAAUCUCUUAAUAAUUAGAAGAUACUGCAGCACAUUUCAAAAUUUUACUUUCUAUCUUAAAGCACUUUGAGGCUUAGCCUGUCAAGCUGAAACAAAGAUAUUUUGUUAAUACCUAUCACUUCACAAAAAUUUGUAUUCAAACUCAUAGUCACAAAAAUUUUCAGUUGUCUGAGUACGUCCAACACCAGUACACUUUUGUCCACUAACCUAAAAACCGAUGAUGAUGACAAAACAUAACAUAUGCAUUGUUGAUAGGGCACUUAGACUUCUUCCUUCUGGCAUGAAGCCCUAAAAAUAAUGUUGCCAUGAAACUGGCUAAACAUGUUUAAAGUGUGCAAAAUGUACGUCCAACACCAUGGAAUUGCCCAAUUACUUUAGACCCAUUUUGACCAAGUUCUGGAGACAGGUAUAAUUUCCCUAGAUUUCUCUUCUUGGAUAGGAAAUCAUUUUCAGGAAAAUUUUUGGGGCCAGUUAAAAGAUACUUUUUGGUGGACACCCCAAUGUAACACAGUCAAGUAACCACCAUCACCUUAAAGAAGAACAUGCAAUUAUAACUAUAAACAUAAUGUCAAAGAAGUAUACAUAUAACUAAAACUGUCUACCGAAUUAGUGGUGGCUUUAAGUUAAUAAUUCAGCACAAGUUUUUAUGAUAUCAUCAAUAAGAGUUCUUCUGGCAUGAAGCCCUAAAAAUAAUGUUGCCAUGAAACUGGCUAAACAUGUUUAAAGUGUGCAAAAUGUAUGUCUGACACCAUGGAAUUGCCCAAUUACUUUAGACCCAUUUUGACCAAGUUCUGGAGACAGGUAUAAUUUCCCUAGUCGGUGACUCAGACACAUCUCAUUCAGACUUUUUAUGAUAUCAUCAAUAAGAGAUUAAAGUGUUAUUGGUAGUGUGUUCUUGAGAAUUCUGAAUGUUUUCAGCGAUUGAUAGCUCUUUCUAGAUGAAUUCUAACUUUGGCAACUUUCUUAGUCUUCUUGCAUUCAGAUAUAGUCAUCUGCUAUUUCACCAGAGCACCAGGCGGCACAGUCAUUUCCCAAAAUGAUUCGCUAUGAUAACUUCAUUCUCAAUCUUUUCAAAAUUUUGGGAAAGAGAUCCAUCUCUAUCAAAAACUGGUGUUCCUUCCCGGUCUGACAUGCGAUCCGGUGACACAGACAUAUCUCAUUCAGAUGAUGGAGCGAUUUGCAAUAAUAAUGUAAGAGGUCUUCCUGUAUCGGGAACCCUCCAUCUGCCAUGACCUUAUCUUUUUUUUCUAGAAGAUUCUUAAAGCAACUCUCUUGGCAGAGGAACUGAUCUGAUGCUCGUCCUCCCCAAGCAUAAGACAAAAACAUAAUAAAUCCAGUAGGUGCUACUGCUACCAAAAUUUUGACAGUAUUAUGUUUUUGUAAUCUGACCAAGUCUUUGCUUGAAGAUCAAGAGAUUUUGGCCUCUCAAUAUAGAUCUCUGUACAGUCAAUAAUGCACCUAGUCUUUCUAUACUUGCCCUCAAAUUUUUCUGGUAGACAAUUUCUGACAGUAUAUUUUUGUAACCAAUGAACAAAUGGGUUUCCCAGCAGAAACUCUAUGCUGUUGCUGGGAGACUUUGCUGAAAACUAUAUGUUCGUGUAAAUUAAUUAAGUCUGAGUAUCCCCAUAUAGGGAAAAUUCAGUACUUUUCUGAGGGCUGCCCUGGCCAGUUUUUUUCUGAAGAUGAAUUACAGUAACCAUGAAAUUGGCUGCAAGCAAACUCCAGAGGACACAGAAUUUCCUGGUUAAUAGACGACUUUUGAUAGUGAGGUACGAUAUCAAAAACGAAAAUAUCUAUGUUCCAACAUUGUUUUGCCAAUAAUAAGCACUGUGAUUCGAACUACUAUUGGAAAUACAUCUGCUCUAAAUAAAUUUAAUUGUGAAAAUGAGUCACAAACAGCACUAUGAAAUAUCAGAAGGUGUUUCCAGGAAAAAGAAGAGGUCUCUUGGGCGUCAAUGUGCAGCAUACAGAUGCUAUAGCACUUUUUAUACUGAUGCAACUGCAAAUGGCCUACAUUUUUUGGAUUUCCACAGACAAAUCCUGAAAAACUUCGUUGGUGCAAUUUAAUCAAAAGAGUAGAUGGAAGAGAUAAUUUUAAAGUUACAAGCGCAACUGUUCUUUGUGAUAAACAUUUUGCUGAUGCAGAUAUCAAACUGGGACUGCUCCUUCCCGUAAUCUCUAUCAAAGCAGCACAAUAGCAAUAAAUCCUAAGUCACGCAAACCUCUGACAUGCCGUUCAAUCCAAUCGCCAAUUGCAUCUGCAGUUCCUGGACCAUCUUUCACCGUUGCUGAAUCUGCUGCUACUGAUUUUCUUCCAGAUUUUUUUUAAGAAGCACUCGAUGUUUCUGGCAAUUGUGUUACAAUAUUGAUGCGCACAGAUUUCUCUUUUGUAAAUUAAGCUGUUUAUCUUCCUUUUGACUCUUGCAAUGAAAUUAUGAAAGCCUUUAUUGAAUCUGAAUACUUCAAAUCAGAAGCUAAAAAAUUGAGCCAAAAGAUUUCUAUAUUGAAUGGUUAAGUGGUAUUCUAUGUUCAAUGGUUAAGUGGUUAAGUGGUAUAGCAGAAUUAAAGAAGUCUCUCUUUUCAAUUGAAAGAUUAAAGCUAAUGAAUCUGCAACAGAGUUUUACACUGUUUUCCUUAACUUCUCAUCUUUACUGGCAACUUUUGAAUAUUUUAAACCAAAAUUGUCUUUGGUGUGGUAAACAAUCAUCUUGCAAUACUGAUCUUGAAUACCAUGAAAAGUCUUCCUUAAAGCCUGGCAGAAAGCGCACACUUUCUCAUCUAGAAGAGUUUGUAUUGGUGUUGAUGAGACUGAAAGUUGGCUUGUUUGUUUCUGAUUUGUCUGAUCACUUUCGAACCUCUCCUGGUCAAGUUUCAAAGAUCUUUACAAUCUGGAUUUGCUUUUUGUAUCAUGAACUCCAAACUUUAUUUCCGUUUCCAUCUCAAGACCUUGUUCAUAAAAAUAUGCCAUCUCAGUUCAAAGAUUUCACCACAGCUAGAAUCAUCAUUGAUUGUACAGAAGUUUUUAAUAGAGGUUCCAUCGUCAAUAAAAUCACAGUCACAAACAUGGUCACAUUACCAACACCAUAACACGUGGAAGGCUUUUAAAAAUUAUGGAUUGGCCGAGUUUCUGACAAAGAAAUUAGACUCAAGUCAAGUGUGUUAUCACUUUUAGAGGAUGGUGACAACAUCAUGGCAGAUUGUGGGUUUGAUUUAAAAGAUAUCCUUCCUUCUGGUGUUACUUUGAACAUUCCUCCUUUUAAAGGCACAAGAGCACAGCUUUCAGCAGAGGAAACUGAAGAAACAGCCCGAAUUGCUUCAGUGGGCAUACAUGUAGAAAGAGUCAUAGGAAGAGUUGAAAAUUAUCACACCCUUGAUGGUCUUUUACCUCUUUCAUUAUACGCUGUUGCUGAUCAAGUAUUCUGCCACCUCACAAACUUUUUACCUUUUGCAGUAUAUCCAAAUGAUAACUAGGUAUAGCAAAAAAACAAGUAGUAGGUAAAAUAUAUCAUCAUCACCAUUUACGUAUAACGUUUAAUAAUAUAUAUACACUAUAUCACCAGUAGCAUUUUUUGCAACAAAUAAUUAUAUAUAAAAUAUAUAUAUGUGUAUUUUAAUAUAACUAUAUAUAUAUUUGAAGCAGCAAGCUGGAGUUCAAUUCCGACCAAGAGUGGUUCGAUACAAUUGGGCAGCACCCUUGUAGAAAUAUUCUCCACUUUGUCAGCCUUUGCCUUAUGAUUACAUUUCAAUGGUUAAAAUGGCUGUGACGAAUGCCUAAACCCGCAGCAGAAUAAACAAAAAACUACUUUGGCUAUGGUGAAAUCUCCAGUGAUGGCUUUGGAGACUCCUCGCUUAUUUCAUUGGGCUGUUUGGCUCAGUGGAAUGAGCGUGGGUUUUAGAAGCAGCAAACUGGAGUUUGAUUCUUGUCCCAGGAAUAGGAUAUGUGUUAUAAAAUCUUUUUGCUUAAAUUUUCCUACUUUUUUCUAAAUCAGCCUUGCAGCGGGGAAUAAAUUUAUUUCUGAAAUGUUUGACUCGUAGAACACAAGCAUAGCUUCAAAUGUCAAAAUCUGGUCAGAAACUGGUCUUUGCAAACUUGCCUUUGCAACCAAUUGUUUGACAGUGCCACCUAUCCCAUCACAAGGCUGCCCCCCAUGGCUUGUAGCAAAGAAGUCCCAGACUGCAUCAAAACUAAAGUCAUUCUUAUGGUAGCAGAGAUUAAUAAAGUUUUUGCGACUUUUAUAUUUCUUUGCGCAACCAUCAGAGAAAUACUCUAUUGUUUUAACUUGAGGACAAACUAACUUCAAGUAAUCCAACACAAGCUUUAUGACCAAAUUAACAAAUGAGACAACAUGCAUUAGGUCAUCUGAGAAAACACAAUGAGACCUAUGCUUAAGAAUUUCGCCUUCUUUGAAAUAAACAACAACUGGGUGAAGAGAGCAUCGCUAGUUACUCCAAUAGUAACUUUGGAACUCAUCUUGGAUCAGAAAGGUAAAGUUUUCAGCAAAUUCUCCAAGAAAAAAUGCUGUUUCUUUUGUAAUGUUUUUUUUUCGUAGUUUCAAAUAUCUAGCCUGGGCUUUUGCAAUAAAAGAAUGUGUUGUCAGCUUUUCUAGCUGGGAAACUACCGGGUCUAGAUAGUCUACAACUGACUCUUGACAGUUGAUCAGAUCUGACCGAUCAGUAGUUGCCCAUUGCUGAAAUUCAAUUUUGUCGCUGAAUUGAUGCUCAAAAGCCAACUUGAAAAGAUUUUCUUUUAAGGGAUCAUUAGAUGUUUGGCCAUUUGAAGCAUCACAACAAUUCACCAUGCACUACCUGCUUUCAGGACUGCAUACAACAAAACACUGUGUAUCUUUAUAGCUGGUAUUAUUAGGAGCAAGAAGGAGUUCGAUAUUUUGGUGAAUAGAGCACACACAAACAAGUGUGUUCCAGAACCACCUGCUAAAACACACCAUUCUAGUCUUAAGAAGAAAAUUUUGAAAAGCCGAUCUUAAUGUCUGGAAACUUGACUUUCCUAUUACAAAGAGUGAGCAUUUUUUGUCUGUGGUCAUUUGGUGCAAUAUUAACAUAAUCUUUCUUGCCUGGCAUUUUUCUGGUGAAUUCUUCAUCAAGAAUUGAUACACAAGCUCAAGAGUUGUUUUGGGCAAGAUAUGUCUAUUUUAGGAUCUGGUAAAGACAGGAUUCUUUUCUCCAUGGCUAGCUUGUGUGCGGUACGAACCAUGUAUUGUGAGACACCAAAGAAAUCUGAUGCCAUUUUAUUGGACCAAUUUGAUGACAGCAAUGGAAGAAUCUGUAAUUGUUUGCUUUUGCAAUCCAACGAUUUUACCUUUCUUGCAAGAUUAUCCAUAAUUUCAUCAAACGAUGCCACAUUUUCUCUUUAUUUCCUCACUACUUGACUCAGACGAAUCUUGUUGAGAUCUAAGUUCCGUAACAGGUCACACACCAUGUCAAGAGAUCUUACAACUUUUUUUGUCAAUAUUGACACCUAAGUUUCAAGCUUGCGCUUCCCUUGCUUUGUUUUCACUGCUGUUGAAACUCCAUGGUGUGUGAUUGGUGAUACUCCUACAGAACUAAAGAAAUGGGAAACAUCUGAACGAUCUUCCUCCAAAUCCUAAGAUUUUGGAAUGGCAGACAACUCUUCAUCCUCUGAAACAUCUCCUUGAUCAUUUGGCCAAUCUUCAUAAUUUCCCUCUUUAUUUUAACUUGUAGCCUUUGUCUACAUGAUGGGCACAACUUUUUACCGGGGAUUAAUUUUUUUCUGAUUUUUUUAAGCAUUUUUGCACACAUCAUUUGUUAUCACUCUCAAUGAUCCUGAAAAUUAAAGGAUAUGGUACUGACAAAUAUAAUUCCUUGACUUUUGUAGAAUGACUCACAUCAAUAUCAUAUUUUAUCAAGUACAUAAGUAUCCAAAAAGCUUUUCCAAGGAUUUCUUAGAGUAUGUUAUUAUAAUUAUAGUGUGCAAAAAGUCUUUCAGUAAAAAGCCACCUUAAUGCACAUUAAACUAGAAACAUACCAACCUUUCCUAUGUGGACCAUGAAUCGCAAAUAGGUUGGUAUUCUUAAUAUUUAAUAAGAAAGGAUUUCUGACGGUGUUGACAAACAGUUUCAAUCACAUUCUCAAUUCCAGAUCGUAAGGCAAGCAAAUUUCUUUCACCACUGUUCAUUUCAUCUACUUUAAUCAGUAGAGCAGUUGCACAGUACGUUUUUUGUGACAUUCUUCUCCAAGAAUAUUUCCAACAGAUCAAGAAUCCAUUUUUCACAGUGCGGGUAAAGUCCUGGGAAAUAAAAAGGAGAAGAAAUUUUUUUAGUUACGUUUUGCAACAUUUUAAAUUUUUUGUCCAUAACAAGCAAGGUUUUCAACAUCAAUGUUGAAAAGUAAUUGCUAUUUUUGUUUCGCCUUUCUUCAAAAUUUUUUUAGGUUGCCAAAAUCAGCUUUCUGCUAGAAUUUUUUUUAACAGUAGUUGUCCAUUGGCAAUUACAGUUUCUUUCCCCAAUUAAAGACAUCAUAAAAUCUGGUUGUUCUACUGUGUAAAUAAUUUUCAUUGUGUUUUUGUGUACUAGAUCAUUCAACACCAAGGUCUCCACCCAAGAGGGCAAUAUUACAAUUGCAGUUUCUUUCCCCAAUUGAAGACAGCAUAAAAUCUGGUUGUACUAAUGUGGAAAUGAUUUUCAUUGUGUUUUUGUGUACUAGAUCAUUCAACACCAAGGUCUCCACCCAAGAGGGCAAGAUUACAAUUGCAGUUUCUUUCCCCAAUUGAAGAAAGCAAACAGUCUGAUUCUUCUAAUGUGGAAAAAGGUGUUGAUGAGUCAGGAGCAGUUGGUGUGAGCACAUUGAAUGAAAGCUUGCACAAUCUAAAGCUAACUUCAUUUAACAAAAAUUACAACAUAUGAAAGGUGGAGAUCCAUUUGAAAGAUGCUUUUCAAGUAGCUCUCUUGCGAGUGAAACAAAUUCUGACAGUGAAAGCUCAUACAGGUAUACAUUGACUUCUUGUCAGUCUUUCGUCACAGUCCUUUUCUUUCAUGUCAAACAUCAAAUUUUGGUGUCAUUAAUUCAUAAUUUAUGAAACAAAAAUUUUGGAUGUAUUUUGCAAACUCAGUUAAUAAUAAAUUCAGUGUUUUUUUACCUUGCAGUUCUUUAAUCCCUUUGAUAAUUGAGCUGGAUGCAUCUGUUAAAAUUUCUGUAAUAUCUAUUUCGUGCAUCAAACAUAACAAAAGUCGUGUUAGGCCCUCUCUUUCCAUAUUUGGUGAAUGACCCCCAGUUUCUCUUCUAUCCAGGACUUCUAAAUCCACAAGGACACCAGUAACAUGUUCAAUGAUCACAUACACACAGUACCUGGCACUAAAUCCUGGAGAAUCAUUUCUCCCAUCACCUAGCAAACAAAUGUCUUCAUAUGGGUUCAAAACAUCCAGAACCUUUUUUUUCAUCCCUUUCCAAGCAUCCAAAAUUACAGGUGCAUAAAACAACCGCUGACAAUGAGUGAAUGUGCUCUGACUUGGGACAGCAAGGUUUAAAAAUUUGCAUAGCAACAAGAACUUUUGGUAGUUGUUACCUGACAACAAAACACAAGCCCCAAUCAACAAAUCAUUCGCAUACACAACAGCAUUUUGUGAAGUUGUUACUACAACACAGUUAAGAUGUUUGGUAUAAAAUUAAAAGUCUCAGCAAAAUGCUCCACAAAGCUGCAAAAGAUAAGGAAGCAGCAGCACUAAAGCCGUGGAUACCCAGCAUCAUCAACCACUUCUGGUAUUCCUUUCAAAUUGCAAAUGGAGACACAGAAAAGUUGAAGGAUUGCUGGUUUGGUGUGGUCCAUCAUGUUUGUGGGGGAACACACAUGGUCAGGUUCAGCCUGUCUUCAUGGUCCAAGUACCAGUUCAGAGCCCAAGCAGGUGCUUGAGAAGAAAUCAAAGCCAGCUGAAACCUUGCGUGCUGUUGUCUUUGACAGGAAUUCCUUACAAACUUGGAAAUGUACACAAGUUUUAGGCACACUGGGUCAAUUGAAACUUUUAAUAGCAUGCUUACAAAAUACGCACCAAAAAGGAUUGCUUUUGAAUAUAUAUAUUUUUGUUUCCCGCAUGGCUUUAGUUGCAAUAGACCAUAAUAUGCAUCUCCACAGGACAUUUGCAAAGACCAAGGAUGGAAAGGAAAUUUUUAAGGUGAAAUACAGCAUAAGGACAAAGUCGCACCAUGCAGAACCUGUGAAGGUUGAUAAAGAUUAUGCAUACAUUCCGCACUUACUGUCAAAAAUUUUGCAAUGUCGCAAGGAAAGCACUGCUUCUGUACUGACCAGAAACAUUCGUAGUGAGAGAGAUCCUAACAAUAUAGCCCCAUUGAUAGAUCCUGGGUAUGAUUUUCUUAUCAUUGUCACUACACAUAAGGGCAAUAUCCUUCUGUUCAAACGACCAAGUUUCCCAUCUUUCCACAGUGCAAAUUGCUGAUAGGCAGCUUUUCUCGACGAAUUUAUAGUGAAUUCGAUUGGUUCAGCUCUCAGAUCACACCUUGCUAAAAUUUGAAGACAUCCCUGUCAAUGCAGAUUUUACGAAAGAUCUGGUAGGAUGUGACACAUAUUACCCUAUCGCAACAUUUGUUUUCAUCAGGGUCAGGCAUUACAAUGCAAACACCACAUUUGCACCAGGGUUCACCAUUCACAUGUGCAAUUGGCCUUUUUGUGGGUGUGAAAUUGAGUGCACAAGGUCUUCAAUAAAACUGGCACUUCCUUCUCCAAUAGCACCCAUCUCUACAACAAGUUGCUGUAGAACUUCACGAGAGAAAUCUUCUACAGCUUCCUAUAAAAUAAAAAAACAAUUUUAGCUUUUCUUUUGGUUUACUGACUCCGCUUUUCGAUUUGUCUACCACAGGGAUUCAAACAAGUAUAAUAGACCUGUUUACUGAUACAGACGCCAUUUUGAGGCGUGAUGCAUUCUGGGAUGGCUAGAGGGGGCAAACAAACUGUUGUCAAGGACCGAAAUCUCAGUGAUCGGUGUUAACUUCGCUAACUACUUACUUCGUUACCCAGUCUAGAUUCUGAAAAUGGUACUAACAAUGGAAGAACUGAGCAAAUGGAAAGUCGAGACAUUGAGGAGUUAUUGGAAGGAAAGAGGUGUGUCUUUGAGUGGAAGCAAUCGCAAAGCCGACUUGAUAGAAAAAGUCGUAUACGCCGAAAAGUUAGGCCUGCCUGUUUUACCAACACAAAGUGAAGUUCAGAGAUUUCCGCAAACAGACGAAGUUUAUUAUUAGUUUAUGGUGUGCAAAUUCCUUCACCUGAAAGCUUCAAAGACCAUUGGUUCGAAGGGAGUGAAUAUUUUCCCGAUCUUACUUUGGACAUCGUCCAGUCCUUCGGGAAAUUAUCUGAAUCGAUGAAGGCUUUCAAAGAAGGAAAGAAUCUUCAAAACUCCGGUCAUUUGAAAUCGGUACUUUUUCAUCAGAUAUCAGACACAGUGAAGCUUUGUUUUAUAAAGGCAUCUGUUGUGCCACAAACUCACAUCUCUGAAAGACCAUACACUGUUUGGGUUUGUUUACGAAAUGACACUUCCCUCAUUCUGACCGCUGAAUGUAACUGCCUUGCUGGUGCGAGUAGCUCUUGCAAACAUGUAUUUGCCCUGCUUCACUUAAUUGAAAGUGAAGUCUAUCUGGGAAGAAAUAAGUCUUGUACUGGCAAAAAGCAACAAUGGGAUGUGCGCAUUUCAAAAAAAGCAGAAAAGAUACAUUUGCCAUGUGAAAAUUCAUCUCUUCUCAUUGAACACUCUUCUCGUGUAAGCGAAUCUUCCAGCCAUGCAACAGCAAGGAAAGAAUACGAGCCACGUUCCAGAGCUGAUUUGUCUGUCAUUUUUGGUGAUGCUGACUGGGAAGAUGUGGCUGAAGCUACUGAUGGAACAGCUAGUGUUCUUCAGUUUAAAAAAACGAGAGGGAACAAAAGUAUGGCUUCUUCUUUUUCCCUUUCCUCGUCUUUGAGGUCAUCCUCUUCCACAUCUUAUCCUCCUCCUUCAAUUCCAGAAAUUGCUUCCAAAUGUGAAGAUGCUGAAUCUUUCAUUUCUACACUGCAUCUUUGUAGAUCCCCUCUUCAUUUAGAGAAAAUUUCUAAUAUGACUAUCGAGCAAUCUUCUUCUGAAGACUGGAAAAAUUAUCCCCUUGGCCUUAUCACUGCAUCUGUUGACCAUGAAGCAUUAAAGAAAGUUGACAAUGAAUUGCAAAUAUCAAAUCUGGCAUCAGCAAAUAAUCUUUGUGCCAAGAUUUGUGGAUAUUAUCCUGAUUUUAGGAGCAAGUCUCUGAGCUGGGGCAAAAACAAUGAAGUUGUUGCUCGCAAAAGAUACAUUAAGAAGAACAAAGGAAAGCACAAAAGUUUCUCUUGCACCACAUUUGGUUUAUACAUCUCUGCAGCAUAUCCUUUUCUUGGUGCAACACCAGAUAAUAUCCUGAGCUGUCAAUGUUGCGGUUUGGGGGUUUUGGAAAUCAAGUGUCCAUGGAGCAGCCGUGACCUUGACAUUUCUGAAUAUAUCAAUAAACCUGAUUCGUACUUAAUCAAAGAUGAUGGAUCAAUUUUAUUGAAGCCAAAGCACCAGUACUGGUAUCAAGUACAGCACCCGAUGUUUACAACUGGAGCCAACUACUGUGACUUUGAACUCUUUUUGCCGAAACAAUCAAUAACAUUAAGAAUCUUAAAAGAUCCUGCCUAUGUAGUGGACUGUGUGCCAAAGCUUACUAGAUUUUUUAACUUAAUUAUCUUACCUGAAUUGUUUUCUUUUGAAAUAAAACUAGAGACAGAAUGCAAGCUACUUUUGAAAGACAUUGUAAAACGUGUAUCAGAUGGUAUUUAAUGAGAAGAUAAGUAAGAUAGAUAUACACAUAACUUUUGUAUAUGUAGUAUUGUUUUGCCUGCAUAUAUUUGUCUUUUUACACAAUAUUUACACAAUAUUUAUGUGUCACAAAGUACUAGAUGAGAGGCCUGUAAAAACAGUUCUUUACUUUAUCCAUGACUUUUUUAGUAUAUUUUUAUUUAUGUUAAUGAGAUAGGUCUCUGAACUUGAAGAUAUGCAACAAAUAUUCCCCUUUAUACUUUUACUAAACAUACAUAACAUUUUUUGUUUUGAAGGUAAUUUUGUACAAUAGAUUAAAUGUGCAAUUGGAAAUAGUAAAGAGUAGCUAUAGAAAAUAUGUUGUAUCAUUACUUGUGGGACUGUGAAAUGUAUUUCUAAAGGGGGCUGAAGAUUUGUUAUGGCUGCUGCGAUUGUCCAGAUAUCAUUGAUAAGGUCUAAUAAACUUAAGGGUAGAGUAUGAUCAAGCAGUCUAAAUUCUUUCAACCGUCCCAUUACACGCUCUAUAUGUAUUCUUGCACGGGCAAUCCUUUUGGCAUCAGCUAUUUCACUGGGGGUAAACUGUUUUUUAUCCCUGACAAAUGGUGGUAUCUUUACAAGUACUUGCUUUGGAAGGAAUAUGUCUUGAACUGUAAAGCCUUUAUCAAAGAGAGCAAUAAAUCCCGGUGUAAAUUUAUUUACAACAUUGCAAUCUUCUGUAAUGAACCGAUCAGAAGCAGAACCAGAAUAAGAUUUUGAAAUGAAACUAAUAGAUCCACCUUUAGUGCAAAAAAUUAACUUUUUGUGGGUGUUACGACUUUUGUAGGUGCUGUAGGUUUGAUGUUGUGCUUUUGAGUUAAAUGGCUUCUGGAUAAAUUGUUCUGUGCAAUCCCCAAUUCCUUCAACUUUAACAAAAUCGUGCUUAAAAUGAGGGUGCUGGGAGCUUUUUCUUCCACAAUAGCCUCUGAUUAUCUGCAUCGCAAGAGAUUGGCGAAAUUUCAGACCGCUCCUUUGCAGACUCGUUUCUUGAGCCUGGGAUUGGUUUCACAAAACCAUUGCAUUUCCAAUUGAAACAUCAAAAAGAACCAAAAUACAUACUUGUACCUUUGAUUGUCUUUUCUUCCAAGUGGAUAAUACGAUCAAAGCUGGUCUGACAGAUUGACACUGAUCAUAUAGGCAUUGUACAGGCAAACGAUGGCUGACUUCUUAACUUCCUCUUGGACGCCUUUCUUUCAUCUGGGAAUAAUCUUUCUAGGAGGUUCAAGGGGAGAAGAAUUCUUAUAGAGGACAUCAACUUCCCUUUUAUCUUUUUACGUUGUGAACAUUAAGUUUGAUUCCCCUUUCUGAUUGACAAUUAUGUCCCACUUCUGCAUUAUCUUUCCAUCAACUUUUGGUAGGCCCUUCCUGUUUCUUCUUACCCUGCCACAAGUGUAAGUUUGUUUAUCUGAUAACAAAUCCUCCAUUUAUCUGAUAACAAAUCCUCCAUCAGCUCAGGACAUGAGAAAAAAUUGUCAAAGCAGGCAUGGUGACUUUUGCGAUGAUAAGGUUCGGUCAUAUUCAUAACAACAUAGUAUCCCAAUCCCUUCCCCUCAUACAAAUCUUGGCCUUCUUAUUCUUUACAAAGGUAAACUUAAUGGUUUUGAACAUAGCCAUUUUGUGGAGCUGCACAAAGCCAAACUUUCAUCCCAUACUUGUUUGGCUUCUUGGGCAUGUACUGCUUGAAAAAAAUUCUUCCUUUGUAGGCAAUCAUUCCUUCAUCGAUUGACAAAUUUUUUCCCAGUUUAUAUGCCUUUUGAAGUUCUCCUGUGUAUGCUCAAAAAUAUGACGAACUUUGAAAAGGCCAUCAUAUCCUUGCUCUCCGCAUUUCGUCCUCUGCAGAGACAAGAAAUUCUUCUUUGUCACUAAUUUCCCCAAAAAUAUCUGCCUUUUCCCGUUCAGUUAUGAAGGAUGGUUUUUGUUAUGAAGGAUGGUUUCGUUAUAAAGAAUCUGUCAUCUGCCGAAAAUGCACAUUUGGAAAACUCUCCAUCACGGAGGUAAGUGCCAAGAAAAUGGGCCUAGAAUCCUUCUUUGUCUUUGAAUGUGACUGAGAUGUGAAAUGAAUCUCUCACCUUAUUGUAAAGACUCUUGCUAGUGCACUGAGAUGUAAAAUGAAUUCCUCACCUCAUUGUAAAGAAUCUUACCAUAACUUUUGAGGUCAAUAGCAGAUCAGUGCUAGGGAUGCUUGAGGUUGGGGCUGGCAAAGGAGGAUUGAAAAAGUUUUGUGCAUUUUUGAAUAUGCCAAAUGCUAUGACUGACGAAGCAUAUAAAACAAUUUGCAAGAAGUGAAAGAUGCAUUGGAGCAUGAAGCCAAUGAAAAUAUGAACAAGGGCUCCAGUGGAAGAACACUAAAAAAAGGCUUAGAAUUAACUGAGGUCACUGAGUGCAAAGCAAUGUUUGACGGAAAAUGAAAAAAAAGAGUACACUUCUCUGCAAGGAGAUUUAACUUGUAUAUCUGCAUCUAUAGGCAAAUUCCUUGAAUAUGAGACUCUCAACAACGCCUGCAUAUUGUUUGAGGUGGGCCAAAAACCUAUUUCUGCAGAAAAAAAGAUGGCAGGCCAACCAUGUUUGCCCUAUCAAUUUUGCAGGGUCUGCACCAGCUAUGGAGCCAGAAGGAGUGAAAAGGAUUUUUCUGCAAUCUGACGAAUCCAGGCACCUGCAAUAUACUGACUACAUUGGUGAUGGGGGCUCUAAGGUAUUUUCCCAAGUAAAAUCGCUAAAAUACCAUACGGAGACAAAAACAUUACAAAAACUAAAUGUGUAGGCCAUGCUCAAAAGAGAACUGCUCUACACAAUAAAAUUUGUAAAGAGCAAGCAAGAGUUAAGCGAUGGGAAAACAAUUGUUGGAGCUGCCAGACUAACUGGGGCCCUUAUCAACAAGCUUCAAAUUUAUUAUGGGCUUGCUAUAUGCCGAAACAAGGACAAUUUGAAAAACAUGCAUGACAAAGUAUGGGCGUGCCUUUUCCAAUUGGCUUCAACCGAUGAGCAUCCCAAGCAUCAGUUUUGCCCGGAAGGCCCAGAUACUUCGUGCAAAUUUUACUAAGACCAGAAAAAUGGUUUUCACAACAGUCAUAAGAAAGAAAUUGCAGAUGCAGUUGCCCAAGAGCUCACCCCCAUUUUUAAGAGACUCUUCAGAAGAAAUGCUCAAAGGCUGUCUUCCUGGCUAUACACAGAACAACUGCGAAGCACUCAAUCAUUUAAUUUGGUCAAGAUGCCCCAAGAGUGUUUUUUCUGCGAGAGAACACUUGGAUUAUGCCAUUGCAGGGUCAGUAAUAGUGUUUAAUGAUGGAUGGAGUGCUAAGACAAAUGUCCUGCUUCAUCUUGGAUUAGAGCCAGAAAGUAAUACAAUGACUUUCUUCUCGAAAAUUGAUAGAAAGCACAAGCGUGAUAGUGCUGCCAAUGCAAUGAUAACUUCAAAAAAAUUAGGCAAUCAAAAAGGAACGCAAAGAAGGGGAAGGAUGGCUAAGAAAAGGAAGGAAGAUUUAACUGUAGAAGAAGGAGUUGCCUAUGAGGCUGGUGGCUUCUAAAAAGACUUUAAUAGAUAUUUAGUCAUGUUUUGUAUUAUGUUUAUUUCUAAAUUGAUUUUUUUUCCCAACUUGCAAAUUUGCUUGCAUUGGUACUUUUGUGAAACCUCUGUAGAUGGCAUGUUUAAAGAUAUCUGGAAGAACAGCUGGUAACUGGCGUUUGUCUGAGUAAUUUGGUUCAUCUUUACGAAUUUUUGUGUUGCUGUAACUUUUGUGACCUAGGAAAGAACCCUGCAGAACUUCAGCUUCGAUAGCAUCCCAUUGAGAUGUUUUACCAUUCAAAACAGUACGCUGUUUUCUUCACCGCUAUGCACCAUUGACAAGAAGGAUUGUUGGCUUCUUUAGGUGGGACAUAAACUUGUUGGGUAGGUGUAUGAUCGAAGCUAAUUAGUGUGGGCAUAGGUUGCUCAUGUAUACCUAUUUCAACUGUGAAAAAAAAUCUGAAAUCUUUUUCUCAGCAACAACUCUGUUCCUUGGGCUUAAAGCCUAGCGCACACAGCAGAUAUUUGUCGCAAAAGACGAAGAUUUUUGUCUUUUUCAUAAAAACUGAUUGCCCGCACACAGCACGAUUUUUUUCGGAUUAGUGCCUCGAUUAAGUUUUGUGACCUCUUUUUCACAUUGUUUGAACUUCUUGGCGCGUAAAAUAAAAUUCCAAACACGAAUAAAAUUGCUCAAGAAACUGACAAAGGUUAUGAAUUUGACAAAAAAGAAAGCACUGUUGGCUAUUAUCCUUUUAAUAAGACGAAGAAGGAGGCGAAUUGCGAGACGAAUGUGGGUGAAAUCCUGGAUUGAGCGUAGAAAUGAGCUGGGAGCAUAUCAGAAUCUUGUUCAGGAGUUAGCAUCGGAGGAUAAACCUAUGUACCAACGCUAUUUUCGUCUCAACGAAGACCUUUUCAAAUCUCUUCUUGCCAAAGUAAGACCAAUGAUUCAAAGAAAAGACACUCACAUGCGAAAAUCAAUUAGUGCAGCAGAAAGACUUGCAGUCACACUACGAUACUUAGCAACAGGAGAGUCAUUUCACAGCCUGGGAUUUUCAUAUAGACUUGGAGAAAGAACAAUUUCAUCAAUAGUGACAGAAACUUGUGAUGCAAUUUAUCAGAAUCUUAAGGAUAGAUAUCUUAAGGUACAUAACAUUUUUUGUUUUCUACUUUUUGGUUUUCAAUACAAUAUUUAAUGUGCUAAUUAAAACCAACUCACAUAACAUUGAAGAGUGCAGUGAAAGCAAUAUACUGUAUGAAUUUUAAAGAUUAGAAUUGUCCGUACGAUGGCCCUUCACUCAUAUCUUGCUGGUCAAGUGACUGCCUGAAAGACUGCAUUCUAGCAUGUUGACCAGCAUGAUAUGGG